GGAAGAUUUACCACGACUUUGAAGUGGAAUCAGGUUAUAUAUUGUUAAUGUGGAUGCUAUUGUCCAACUUUCUGUAGCUAUGGCACAAGAAUAUAAGAAAGCAUGGGAUUAUGGCAGUCACAGAGUCCCAGUAAUACAAGUUCCAUUCAGUUCUUUCUGAAAGACAGCCAUCUAUCAAAGUAAAGCACAGGAACUCUUGUGGAUUAUAAUGCUCUAAAGAUCUG